rnacentral:rRNA from 1 species
AUUGAACGCUGGCGGCAGGCCUAACACAUGCAAGUCGAGCGGAUGAAGGGAGCUUGCUCCUGGAUUCAGCGGCGGACGGGUGAGUAAUGCCUAGGAAUCUGCCUGGUAGUGGGGGAUAACGUCCGGAAACGGGCGCUAAUACCGCAUACGUCCUGAGGGAGAAAGUGGGGGAUCUUCGGACCUCACGCUAUCAGAUGAGCCUAGGUCGGAUUAGCUAGUUGGUGGGGUAAAGGCCUACCAAGGCGACGAUCCGUAACUGGUCUGAGAGGAUGAUCAGUCACACUGGAACUGAGACACGGUCCAGGCUCCUACGGGAGGCAGCAGUGGGGAAUAUUGGACAAUGGGCGAAAGCCUGAUCCAGCCAUGCCGCGUGUGCGAAGAAGGUCUUCGGAUUGUAAAGCACUUUAAGUUGGGAGGAAGGGCAGUAAGUUAAUACCUUGCUGUUUUGACGUUACCAACAGAAUAAGCACCGGCUAACUUCGUG